rnacentral:rRNA from 1 species
UACGAAGGGGGCUAGCGUUGCUCGGAAUCACUGGGCGUAAAGCGCACGUAGGCGGCUUCUUAAGUCAGGGGUGAAAUCCCGGGGCUCAACCUCGGAACUGCCUUUGAUACUGCAAGUCUUGAGUCCGAUAGAGGUGAGUGGAAUUCCUAGUGUAGAGGUGAAAUUCGUAGAUAUUAGGAAGAACACCAGUGGCGAAGGCGGCUCACUGGAUCGGUACUGACGCUGAGGUGCGAAAGCGUGGGGAGCAAACAGG